GCAUAGUGGAGAUUCCGGCAUGAGGCGGCGGCAGUCACCGCCUGGCUGCCCCGCGGAGGCCCGGGAGAGCCGCUGCGGUCUCGGGAGGCCGGGCUUUGGGACUUGCUGGCCCGACCGCCAGUCGCCCUGGGGCCUUGGGAACAGGGAAAUGCGCGCGCCGAGGCGGUGGCGGCCUCGCUGCUUUCAGUUUUCAUUGAGUCUGCUGGUUACUGUUUAACGUCCCCACCCACGUUUCAGUUUGUUUAGUAAAUCGAUAGGACUGUGAGAGUCAGGCCGCUGCCCUGUCGCCAUUGAGCAAAGCUAAUAUUCUCCCAGCAUAUGGUCUAAAAUCUUUGCUAGAGAUCGGGAAAAAGAAACAAACAAACAAACAAACAACAACAAAAUCCUUAAGCUUCCUCUCCCAAGUCCCCCCAUCCCCACCCCCACUUCCCACCUCCUCGCUUUCAGCAAACUUCCCAGCCUGGGAAAAGUGCGGCGCGGGACAGCGCGACGGGGUGGGUGGGGGACCUGCUGCCGGGAGAUGCGGCGGCGGCCGCGCGGCUGACUGCGACUCGGGAGCUCCGGGAGCGGCCCGCGCAGUGAUUGCUGCCUUGACCGUCCCUGCUCUUGAAGAGCACCAGCGAAAGCAGCCAGUCUGAGAUAUUGACACUACAGAAAAAACUGACAGCUUACUCCUUGUAUUGAUUCUACUCUUCUCUACAAAUAUAGACUCCGUUCCCUACCACAGCCUUGCUGGAAUGCAAUGGUGUGAUCUCGGCUCACUAUAACCUUCGCCUCCUGGCUUCAAGCGAUUCUCCUGCCUCAGCCUCCUGAGUAGCUGGGACUACAGGCUCCUACCACCACGCCCAGCUAAUUUUUGUAUUUUUAGUAGAGAUGGGGUUUCACCACGUUGGCCAGGCUAGUCUUGAACUCCUGACCUCAGGUGAUCUGCCUGCCUCAGCCUCCCAAAGUGCUGGGAUUACAAGCAUGAGCCACCGCACCUGGCCACGUUUUUAAAAUAGUGAUGACUUUAUUCAGAUUUUCUAUUUCUUGUGAUUAAAUUUGUUAAAUUUGUUUAGAAAAAUGCCCAUCUUGUGAUCAAAUUUGAGUUCAAUUUGUUUAGGAAAAUUGCCAUAAAAUUGUUCAGAAUAUUCACAGAUUAUUUUUGAGUAUCUACUAUAAUUCUUAUGUUUUGUUUGUAAUGUCUAACAUUCCUUGUCUUUGCAAAUAAUAAAUUUGACCUUGUUAAGACUCUACUUAAUCUUUGCAUUUUUAUUUCAAUAAUUGACACAUUUUUACUAUUUUAUAUCUAUUGUGUUAUUUUUCCCUGUUGCUUGUUUUCUGACUUUUUAAAUUGUA
rnacentral:lncRNA from 1 species